GAUGAACGCUGGCGGCGUGCCUAAUACAUGCAAGUCGAGCGCAGCGGGGACGGGUGAGUAACACGUGGAUAACCUCCUAUAAGACUGGGCUAACUUCGGGAAACAGGAGCAAAACCGGAUCCUUAUAGAUUGAUCCUCGCUGCAUUAGCUAGUUGGUAAGGUAACGGCUUACCAAGGCAACGAUGCAUAGCCGACCUGAGAGGGUGAUCGGCCACACGGGAACUGAGACACGGUCCAGACUCCUGCGGGAGGCAGCAGUAGGGAAUCUUCCGCAAUGGGCGAAAGCCUGACGGAGCAAUGCCGCGUGAGUGAUGAAGGCCUUAGGAUCGUAAAACUCUGUUAUUAGGGAAGCGUGACCUAAUCAGAAAGCCACGGCUAACUACGUGCCAGCAGCCGCGGUAAUUC
rnacentral:rRNA from 1 species